rnacentral:rRNA from 1 species
GACGAACGCUGGCGGCGUGCUUAACACAUGCAAGUCGAACGAAGAGCGAUGGAAGCUUGCUUCUAUCAAUCUUAGUGGCGCACGGGUGAGUAACGCGUAAUCAACCUGCCCUUCAGAGGGGGACAACAGUUGGAAACGACUGCUAAUACCGCAUACGAUCUAACCUCGGCAUCGAGGAUGGAUGAAGGGUGGCCUCUAUUUAUAAGCUAUCACUGCAGGAGGGGAUUGCGUCUGAUUAGCUAGUUGGAGGGGUAACGGCCCACCAAGGCGAUGAUCAGUAGCCGGUCUGAGAGGAUGAACGGCCACAUUGGGACUGAGACACGGCCCAGACUCCUACGGGAGGCAGCAGUGGGGAAUCUUCCGCAAUGGACGAAAGUCUGACGGAGCAACGCCGCGUGAGUGAUGACGGCCUUCGGGUUGUAAAGCUCUGUUAAUCGGGACGAAAGGCCUUCUUGCGAAUAGUUAGAAGGAUUGACGGUACCGGAAUAGAAAGCCACGGCUAACUACGUG